AUAAAUAAAUAGAAUCUUUAAAAAAAAAAAAAAAAAAAAAUAGCCAGCCACCUCUACUUUAUCUUUUAAACUUCCAGUUUUAAAACUGGACAGCAACAUGCAAAAGAAGAGGUGGGAAAAACCUCCAAUUUUUAAUAAGUAAUGCUUUAAAUGCUUUGUGAAAAUACCAAACUUCUUUUCUAAGAUAGGUUCAACGCCAGCCCUAUGGUUAAGAGAAUGUCUGAAGGGACUGUCAGUAUAAGCAGAGGAGAAAGUUUACCCUAAGUGAGCUGUAAAACUCAUCCAACACCAGGCUCAUUGAACGAGUCAGGUUACUGACAUAUGUAGUCUCUUGAUUCAAGGCAUCUUGGAAAGCUUCAAAAUCUUGCAUCCAUUCCACUGCAAAGCUGUGAUCAAUGAUGUCAGUCUGUACCAAACAGAAGACAAUUAUCAGCAAUCAGAGGUGUGUUUAGAUACCAAACAACGUCAAAAAAUUUUUAAUUACAUGCCAACCACAAAGCAAUUAUUCGUAUUUUUUUUUCUCUGCUUCUCCCAUUUCCUCCUCCACUACAACAAACCAUAAAGGACCACGGCUACUGUAAAUAAAUGAACAUAUGUGUUCUCUUGGUUGAAGCCGACCCUUCACUAUCCACUGCCAAGUGACCAUGACCACAGUAGAUGCCAGCACAUUCUAGGCUCUGAAGUCAUGUACUCUCUUGAAUCCUUGCUGUCGACUCAAGAAAAGUGAAGUUUUCUGUUUUAAUUGCUCUGCCAAUUAACAAGCAGUCCCUCCCCCAUAUACAUAGUUGUGAUUCUGAGGGAUAACCUAUACACUAUGAUUGAGGGGCUACUCUAUCCAGUUUUAAAUUACUCUGAGGAGAGCCAGUAAUAAAUAUUCAUUUAAUUCGACUGAAUCUUUUUCCUACAAACGCUCAUGACUUUGUUUCAGUUAAGUUUGAAUCUAUUCUCCGACAUGUGAAAAUCCUCACCUACCCAAACCCCUAAACCUUCCAAUAACACAAGGUUCUGAUGAAAAAGAAAUACUAAACCACAAAAGGAAGGAACCACUUACUUUAUUCAUAACCACAAUGAAAGGCAGCUUGGUUUUGUACAAGAUGCUGAAAAUCAAACAUCAAGACGUUAUCAGUGAAAGCACUUAAGCUCUUGCUUACCCAAGUGUCAGUCUGGUAGAACCGAGUAACGAGAACUGGAAUGGGUUCAGACGCUACAUAUAGCUAUCCAUCCUGACACAGCCCUCACAAUCUACUCUCCCAAAGGAAGAGGUACUUCACCGCUACCAUUAGGCAAACAGCACACAUACGUUCUCUUUCUUUCUUGGGGUAAUAAUGCUUUGAUAUUCAUCUGGUUUUCUGUGUAUGGUUUUUUAGUCUGGUUGUUUCUACCAAAUAAUUGUCUCUUUUAAACAAUAUAUAUGGAAACAACGCUGUCAGACAUCAGAUUUCUAUUUGGACUACAAUUUAUUGCAUCUACCAAGAAGGUAUAUCCCUAGUCAUAGGAGAAGGCACAAAUGCUGGUGAUGGCUUUUAUGUAUCCACCAAAUCAAAUUCUCUCAAAUUUCAUAAUAAUUUCCCUUGCUCUAUGUCGAAUGCACUCACAUACCCUAGUAAGCCAUGUCUCUCUGUCCGUAAUGACACCAAGUUGGGGCAAACUUGUGCUUUUUGGAAUCAUAGAUAAAUCUCUUUAUUCACAAUCUCUCAUUUUAUAAUUUAAGUCUACAUGUCAUAACACAGAAAAGGAACAUUUAGAUCAGAGGGCUCUAUUCUAUUUAGACUCGUUUCAUUCAACUGCGAGCAACUACCAAAAGGUUCGUGUUCAUACACUACCUGUUUCUGUAACAAGCAAAGGGGGAAGAUGAGAAGCUGGUCAAAGAGAAUGCUAACACAUAUGCCUCUUUUCUCAUCUAAUCUCUCCCCAGCUCACAACUACUAAACUGAGGGGCACAUCUGAAUGAGCACAAAUCCAGAGCCCGAUGGUAUCCUGAAAUCCUUGAGACACGUCAACUACAGAGUAAUAAACAGGUGUUAAGCCAAAAGCACUUACUUAGACAUGUUCUGGGCCUUCUCAAUAAAUUUCAUCACCUGAAAGAAAAAAGAUGCCAAUUAAAAACAGGAUCCAUCUUCAAUACAAAAAUCACCGUUUCCAGGGCGGCCCACCUUAUAAGCAACUAUCAACUACUGAAUCUCUAAUCUCUGUUCUCAGUCUUAGGACACCAACUAAUAAACUCCAUGAACUAAGGAAACACAGUCACAUCAGCAGCACUGACACACCCCAACACCCCAGAGUGUACUGCAGGGUCCUGAGAAGCUGAAGACGAUCUCUCACUUUCGGGUCAUAUCUCUUAGUACUUUGGUAUAAAAUGUUUAACAGCCUGUCUCUUGGAGUGACAUGAGGGUAAAAAAUUCAUGAUUACAAAACACCACUCUUGUAGAAGUAGGAGAAAAACCUAAACAGUGACAAUUUAUCUGUCACAUGUAAAAAAGCCCCAUUAUCUUUCCAUUCCAUGCCUGCUACCCCUCCCACUCCCCAAUCCUUCCCUCCAUCCUCAAGGUGACACUAUAAGCCAAGAUCAAGAAAAGAACCUAGAUUUUUGUUUUAUUGGCCAUCACCAAUAUUAAAUGUGAAGUGUCUCAC